rnacentral:lncRNA from 1 species
GAAAAAUGAUUAUUUCAAAGUAUUCAUUUUAGAAGGGACAGUGUAGACUUCCAUAAAAUAUGUGAAUCUAAGCUAAACAGACUAAGGACUGUAUUUAAAAAUCAUCAUGAUAAUUCUUUUGGCGAAAACUCCAUAUUUGUAAGAUCAUUAUUCAUUUAAUGGUUAAUUCGUGUAACAAAUAUUUAAGUCUGGGAUGGCAGUCAUACUUGGUAUUCAGAUUUCCUAACUUUGUCAAGUUUGAUUUUCUGUGCGUACAGUACUUUUGCUGCUUUUGAAAGGUAUGACA